GACACCACUCGCCCGCCAUCCCUCCUCGCCGCCCCCCCCCUGUCAAAAGGAGGAGUCGCGUGCGACGGGGUCCCGCCGGCGGACUCUGCGUGCUCCGGAGACUCGUUUCUCCGAGUGCACCGAAUCUCGUGAACGAAACUUCUAUUGCCUUGCUGCACAGAGCUGUUGACGGCGUUGCUUCGGCGGCGACUCUCGGCUCGCUAACGUGCUCCAAGAACAGCUUUGGAGUGUCUUUGUCCGGUUAUCGCCUCUCUCUCCCCUCGGGGGAAUGGGGGACACACACCCUACUUUCG
rnacentral:misc_RNA from 1 species